CACGGGCCGUGCCGCGAGGGGCGCGGGAGCUGCCCGUCCCCACCGCAGCAGCCCCGCGCUGCCGGGGCCUGUCUCGGUGCCGUCGUGCCCGCCGUGCCCCCCGUCCCGGCUCACCCCGGCUCACCGGCCCCGCCGCCCCGGCCCCGGCCCGGCCCCGCCGGCCCUUUGUUGUCCUCCCUCCUCCUCCCGCUCCGCUCCUUCUGCCGUCGGGCGCCGCCGCACGCCGCAAACCCGCGCUGCCGCAAAAGGCGGCUGUCGUAACGCCCCGCGCCCGCCCCCUUUAACGCGGCGGCUUUAAAUGGCCCCGGGGGCGUGAGGGGAAAACACACGGGAACCUCGUGGGAACUGCCAGCAGCGUUACAGACAUGGCAUCCGCACAGCCCUGUUUCAGAAGUCUCUUCCUUCAGAAGUCUGGGCUGAAGUGCAGCCAAUCCAUAUCAUCCAAGCUGGGCUUGUUCCUUGGCAUGAGGGCAGCUGAGCCCCUCAGGGAGUGAGCUUUCAUGGAAGAAUCAGUAUGGCCUUUUCAUCAAAACAACCAGCACAUGAAUCCUGGCACCACAAAGAUCUGCCAGUUAUUAAUUAUUAAUCAGCAAACUAAAAAUAAAUGCAUAAAAUAA